rnacentral:rRNA from 1 species
AGAGUUUGAUCCUGGCUCAGGACGAACGCUGGCGGCGUGCUUAACACAUGCAAGUCGAACGAGAAUCUACUGAAAGAGUUUUCGGACAAUGGAUGUAGAGGAAAGUGGCGGACGGGUGAGUAACGCGUGAGGAACCUGCCUUGAAGAGGGGGACAACAGUUGGAAACGACUGCUAAUACCGCAUGACGCAUAGAGGUCGCAUGAUCUUUAUGCCAAAGAUUUAUCGCUUCAAGAUGGCCUCGCGUCUGAUUAGCUGGUUGGCGGGGUAACGGCCCACCAAGGCGACGAUCAGUAGCCGGACUGAGAGGUUGAACGGCCACAUUGGGACUGAGAUACGGCCCAGACUCCUACGGGAGGCAGCAGUGGGGAAUAUUGGGCAAUGGGCGCAAGCCUGACCCAGCAACGCCGCGUGAAGGAAGAAGGCUUUCGGGUUGUAAACUUCUUUUAAGAGGGAAGAGCAGAAGACGGUACCUCUAGAAUAAGCCACGGCUAACUACGUGCCAGCAGCCGCGGUAAUACGUAGGUGGCAAGCGUUGUCCGGAUUUACUGGGUGUAAAGGGCGUGCAGCCGGGUCUGCAAGUCAGAUGUGAAAUCCAUGGGCUCAACCCAUGAACUGCAUUUGAAACUGUAGAUCUUGAGUGUCGGAGGGGCAAUCGGAAUUCCUAGUGUAGCGGUGAAAUGCGUAGAUAUUAGGAGGAACACCAGUGGCGAAGGCGGAUUGCUGGACGAUAACUGACGGUGAGGCGCGAAAGUGUGGGGAGCAAACAGGAUUAGAUACCCUGGUAGUCCACACUGUAAACGAUGAAUACUAGGUGUGCGGGGACUGACCCCCUGCGUGCCGCAGUUAACACAAUAAGUAUUCCACCUGGGGAGUACGAUCGCAAGGUUGAAACUCAAAGGAAUUGACGGGGGCCCGCACAAGCGGUGGAUUAUGUGGUUUAAUUCGAAGCAACGCGAAGAACCUUACCAGGGUUUGACAUCCUGCUAACGAAGUAGAGAUACAUUAGGUGCCCUUCGGGGAAAGCAGAGACAGGUGGUGCAUGGUUGUCGUCAGCUCGUGUCGUGAGAUGUUGGGUUAAG